UACUACGGCGCCACCGAGUCGAUCAAGAAUUAUAAAGAAGAUUAAUUGUUUUCAAAUAUUUUUGGUUAUAUUGGUCUUCUGUUCUAUUUGUGCUGUGUCUAACUGUAGAGC